CCCCUUUCAGGGUUGCAUCUGGAGAGUUUCUAGUACUCUACCAGUCUUGACCACGGGAGGGGAGAGUCAAGCAGAGGCAUAUUCAUUCCACUCCUAGCUUGGACAGUGGCUAGCAAGUGGAAGACAAUCUGCUACGAGU